rnacentral:rRNA from 1 species
CCUACGGGCUGCAGCAGUAGGGAAUCUUCGGCAAUGGACGAAAGCCUGACCGAGCAACGCCGCGUGAGUGGAGAAGGUUUUCGGAUUGUAAAACUCUGUUGUUAGAGAAGAACAAGUAGGAGAGUAACUGCUCUUACCUUGACGGUAUCUAACCAGAAAGCCACGGCUAACUACGUGCCAGCAGCCGCGGUAAUACGUAGGUGGCAAGCGUUGUCCGGAUUUAUUGGGCGUAAAGCGAGCGCAGGCGGUCUUUUAAGUCUGAUGUGAAAGCCCUCGGCUCAACCGAGGAAGGUCAUUGGAAACUGGAGGAUUUGAGUGCAGAAGAGGAGAGUGGGAUUCCAUGUGUAGCGGUGAAAUGCGUAGAUAUAUGGAGGAACACCAGUGGCGAAGGCGACUCUCUGGUCUGUAACUGACGCUGAGGCUCGAAAGCGUGGGGAGCAAACAGGAUUAGAUACCCCGGUAGUC